rnacentral:rRNA from 1 species
UACGUAGGGGGCAAGCGUUGUCCGGAAUCACUGGGCGUAAAGCGCACGUAGGCGGACUCUUAAGUCGGUGGUGAAAUCCUGGAGCUCGACUCCAGAACUGCCUUCGAUACUGGGAGUCUCGAGUCCGGGAGAGGUGAGUGGAACUGCGAGUGUAGAGGUGAAAUUCGUAGAUAUUCGCAAGAACACCAGUGGCGAAGGCGGCUCACUGGCCCGGUACUGACGCUGAGGUGCGAAAGCGUGGGGAGCAAACAGG